CAGUCGCCGCGGUAAUACGAAGGGUGCAAGCGUUAAUCGGAAUUACUGGGCGUAAAGCGCGCGUAGGUGGUUCAUUAAGUUGGAUGUGAAAGCCCUGGGCUCAACCUGGGAACUGCAUCCAAAACUGGCAAGCUAGAGUAUGGUAGAGGGUGGUGGAAUUUCCUGUGUAGCGGUGAAAUGCGUAGGUAUAGGAAGGAACACCAGUGGCGAAGGCGACCACCUGGACUGAUACUGACACUGAGGUGCGAAAGCGUGGGGAGCAAACAGGAUUAGAUACCCGCGUAGUCCCUGUCUCUUAUAC
rnacentral:rRNA from 1 species